rfam:Cajanus cajan chromosome 2, whole genome shotgun sequence.
AGGAGCCGAAUGAAACAAAAGUUUCACGUUCGGUUUUGAAUCGGACGGUUUUGAAUUGGAGAGACGUUAAAUCAAAAUGAUGAAUCAACGUCGACUAUAAC